CCGUCCAUCCCUGGAAACGCGGCGAGCCAGAGCGGCGCGGUACCGGGCUCCGGAGAGGAGGGGAAGGCGGAAAACCCCCCAAAAGCGAGGAGCGGCUUUUCCGCUCCCCCGCCGCGGAAGCAGGAGCUGCUGUUCUCAGGGACGGAGCGAGGGCUUGCACUGACACGUGCUGAAUGAAUCGUGGUUAAUUUACCCCUUUGUUUUGCGGUGAGGAUGCGCUUGCGGCUGGCAGGUUUGACGGGGGCAUGCUCUGGUCCCGCUCCUGGCUGUGUCACAGUCUCCCUCUCUGACGAAGAGACACUUCACCCGCCUGUGGAGUCAGUUUUCCAACUUUGAAGACAUAGCAAUACCUUACUGAUGAGCGUCUCACUGAAGUGAUGGCGAGGUGUCUGGAUAUAUGGGGGAUAGCUGAAAGUUGCUACAACCACCAAAAUCUUCAGCAAGUUGAUUUGCAGCAUUGGUCUUUGGAGGAUUAAAGAAAUGAUACUGCAAUUGCAUCCACUGUGGUCUGAGUCACACCACUAGUAUACCUUACAAUGCUCUUCAUCUACGUUGUUUAACCUGGCUGACAGAUUUAGAUCUAUAAAUGCCACACAAUUUAGGACUUGGAAGGAAAAGGAAGGAGGAUGAAUUGGAAACAUUUUCAGCAAAGGAAGAACAAUUUAUGUCAAUGGCGAGCUUUCAUAUGCACCUCCUGUACUGCCAGCAUGGGAAUCUGCAAUCAGGUAUGAACAACUGUGAGAACACAGCAGUUAAUUUCAAUCUUAGUGAUCUCAUCAGAAUUGUGAAUGCAAAAGCUAACAAGGCAAUUAUAAAUUAGUCCUUGAUACAUGCACAAUUUGUGAAAAUGCAUAUUCCCCUAGGUCACACAGGCCCUGCAGUCAUGCUGCACAGAAGCUCUCACUGGUUCAAUGGAAAGCUGUAUUUGUAUGUGUAAGGGCAGCAGAGCGAAGUCAUCAGUUCAAGGUGUAAAUAUAUUUGUCACACAGGGAGUCACAGAAGAAAAGAAGUACAUAGGUGAACAGCUAAGCUCUGACUGUGGAUGCAAGACUGAGAUCCUAGCAUGGUACUGAUAUGAAGCAAAAUCCAGGAAAAUUGAAGUGGUAAGGGGUAAUUUCCUUUCAAUCCAUGGAUACAUAGCGUGCAAAAGACUUCAAAAAGAAUAAAUGACCUGUACGUAGUGAAUAACUCUGCUUAUAUAUUCUCCCUUGUGUAUAACACAGGUAACUUUCUUUAAAAUCAUUGGCAUUCAACCUAGUUGUGCAGAGAGGAGGUGCUAAAUAAAGCAUCUAUGAGAAGUUAGCAUCAGCAUCUGUAAUAAACACCAUCUAAUGAUAUGAGAGAAAGAGUGAGGGCAUCCAAAGUAUUCUAGUGUAUUCCUGGGCAUCAUUUGAGAAAACUAUAGAAUAAUUUCUGGAAUAAAACAAAACUUAAAAAGCUUGGAAUCAGCCUGUGAAAUCCUCAGGAAGGUAUUUUAUCUAUAGGGUUGUGCUUGCAAGAGAAAGUCAUCUUGGAGAUGGUGGAGGAGGUUGUGUUUGUGUGUGUAAGCAGCAAGCAUUCUGUUCACUACAUGUUCACUAAGCUUUUCUGAAAGCACCAUUUCCAGGGGAAGUCUCUGUUGUAAUGAAAUCGCCUUCUCCAAGCCUGCCUGCCAGCUCUUUACAAAUCCUUUCCAUGUUGAUGCGCUUAAGCCCUCUGCUUUUGAUGGUCUUUUCCCUGUUGUAUUCAUGCAUGUUAUUUGUGCUUUGGUUCAUACUGAUCUGUAGCAGAUGGGGAAGCAGAGAGCAGAAGGAAUUUUUCCUACUUUAAGUGUCCCUGAAGGUGAAAAUAUCUGCCCUGGGCUUCACUACUUGGACGGAAAAUGUGGCUUCUGAUGACAAUGUACACAAGAAGGUGGUGCUGGACUGUGACUCUAUUCCAUUACAAAACAGCAGGUAACGAAAAACACUGGAUCUUGGGAAUAAACCACCUUUGUCACAUGACAGAAGAGGGCUGACUGGUCCUGAAGAGGAAAGCUGAAGAGUAGCACUUCAACUGCUUUUACAAUCACAUUUCUGUAUCUCUUUAAUUGUCUUAUUA